rnacentral:rRNA from 1 species
GGUUUGAUCUGGCUCAGAUUGAACGCUGGCGGGAUGCUUUACACAUGCAAGUCGAACGGCAGCACGGACUUCGGUCUGGUGGCGAGUGGCGAACGGGUGAGUAAUGUAUCGGAACGUGCCUAGUAGCGGGGGAUAACUACGCGAAGGCGUAGCUAAUACCAUACGCCUUCGGGGAAAGCGGGGGACCGGGCCUCACUAUUAGAGCAGCCGAUAUCGGAUUAGCUAGUUGGUGGGGUAACGGCUCACAGGCGACGAUCCGUAGCUGGUUUGAGAGGACGACCAGCCACGCUGGGACUGAGACACGGACGGGCUCACGGGAGGCAGCAGUGGGGAAUUUUGGACAAUGGGGGAAGCCUGAUCCAGCCGCGUGUGCGAUGAAGGCCUUCGGGUUGUAAAGCACUUUUGGCAGGAAAGAAACGGCACGGGAUAUUUACCCCGUGCAACUGACGGUACCUGCAAGAAUAAGCACCGGCUAACUACGUGCCAGCAGCCGCGGUAAUACGUAGGGUGCAAGCGUUAAUCCGGGUCUGGAGCGUAAAGCGUGCGCAGGCGGUUCGGAAAGAAAGAUGUGAAAUCCCAGAGCAACUUUGGAACUGCAUUUUUAACUACCGAGCUAGAGUGUGUCAGAGGAGGUGGAAUUCCGCGUGUAGCAGUGAAAUGCGUGAAUAUGCGGAGGAACACCGAUGGCGAAGGCAGCCUCCUGGAAAGUAACACUGACGCUCAUGCACGAAAGCGUGGGGAGCAAACGGAUUAGACACCCUGGUAGUCCACGCCUAAACGAUGUCCAGCUAAUUUGGGGCCUUCGGGCCUUGUUAGCGCAGCUAACGCUGAGAUUGACCGCCUGGGAGGUCGCAAGAUUAAAACUCAAAGGAAUUGACGGGGACGCACAAACGAUGGAUGAUGGAUUAAUUCCGAAUGCAACGCGAAAAGCCUUACCCUACCCUUGACAUGUCUGGAAUCCCGAAGAGAUUUGGGGUGCUCGCAAAGAGGAACCGGAACACACAGGUGCUGCACGCGAAAACAUGCGUCAGCUCGUGUCGUCGUGAGAUGUUGAGUUAAGUCCCCGCAACGAGCGCAACCCACUUGUCAUUAGUUGCUACGAAAGGGCACUCUAUUAGGGACUGCCGCCGGUGACAAACCGGAGGAAGAUGAGGGAUGACGUCAAGUCCUCAUGGCCCUUAUGGGUGGGGCUUCACACGUCAUACAAUGGUCGGGACAGAGGGUCGCCAACCCGCGAAGGGAGGCCAAUCGAAACCCGAUCGUAGUCGGAUCGCAGUCUGCAACUCGACCGUGAAGUCGGAAUCGCUAGUAAUCGCGGAUCAGCAUGUCGCGGUGAACCCGCGUUCCCGGGUCUUGUACACCGCCCGUCACACCAUGGGAGUGGGUUUACCAGAAGUAGUUGGCCUAACCGUAAGGGCGAUUACCACGGUAAGUUCAUGACUGGGGUGAAAUCGUAACAAAA